rnacentral:sRNA from 1 species
ACACAAUAAUCAUAUAUAUAUGAAAGGAGGCUAACUCUCUUCCACAACUUGACACAUAAGCACAUGAGAACUUGCCACCUAGACUUCAUAAGUUAAGUAAUACAUAAUUAGUAAUUAAUUUAACAUAACAACUAAAAUAGGAGGAUAUAAUUAAUCAGAACUUGAACCAUCACUCUUUUAUAUUUUUUUAAUUCAAUAUAUCCUCUUUAAUGUUGAGAUCCACUUAAGUGGCUAAAGUGAUCAUAAAAUCCAAACAUGCUACACAGAUUCCUUGCAAUCUAAAUUUUCUAAACUUUUCUAAAAUUUCAUAGUCUCACAAUCUAAACAUAUAACAAAAAAACAAGAAUAUAUAAAAUAAAAACAAAACUAAGAAUCUAGAACAACAAUAAAAAACAACUCAAGCACAUUCGUUUUUCAGAUGAACUAAUAUAGUUGGACUUUUCAAAAACAAUUACAAAUCAUAAUUAUGUUUCAAAACCGAUGCAUUCAACUUUACUUUAUAUGAACAGACAUUAUAUAAAACUGUUGGGAAUGUCCUGAAAUCAGUU